AUAAAGGUGGCGGGGAGCUCCUGAUGUGUAGGGGCUGAGAGGGUAGGUGUAACCUACCGACCCGUGGAACCUGCUCUGGGUAAUGCCAGCGAAGGGACCACCGGUCUUUUUGAG
rnacentral:ncRNA from 1 species